rnacentral:rRNA from 1 species
AAAGCUCAAAUUUAAAAUCUGGCGUCCUCCGGGCGUCCGAGUUGUAAUCUGGAGAAGCGUUUUCCGCGUCGGACCGUGUACAAGUCUUCUGGAACGGAGCGUCAUAGAGGGUGAGAAUCCCGUCUCUGACACGGACUACCGAUGCUUUUGUGAUGCGCUCUCGAAGAGUCGAGUUGUUUGGGAAUGCAGCUCAAAAUGGGUGGUAAAUUCCAUCUAAAGCUAAAUAUUGGCCAGAGACCGAUAGCGAA